ACUAUAAUAACUGAAAUACACAAAAUCACAAAUUGUGCUUAUUGUGAUAACGUAAGGGAAAAAAAUGAUAUAACUUUACUAAGAGUGUUGUCUAAAUAACUGGUGCCAGAAGACUCGGUAACACCAGAAACGCGAACGUUAGUCGUCUUAAACAGGCGUAAAGGGUAAGUAGGCUGCUUUAAAAUCUAUUUUAAAUUAAGCUAAUUAAUAUUAUUAUUGCGUAGUUACCCCUCCAUUUAUGGGAGGGGCAACUCCCCACUCUCGCUUUAGCGAGCAAGCGCAUUGCUUUAUUCUUUUUAUUAUAUUAAGAACUAAUUUGCUUUGGCCCAACCACCCUAAAGGUCCAAGCAAGGGUUGCAUUGCAAGCAAAGCAAGGGCAGUUUUAAAUAAAGUCCUAAGGGAGGGUAGGUCCGAAAAAAAACCUUAGUCACUUUAGCUUUGAAAGCAAUGGGAUAAUUUAAAAGUUUCAAACCUUAAAUUAUAAAUUAAGGCUAACUUAAAAUGAAAAUAGUGUUACUAGUUUUCAAGGUGCCUCUGCUUGAGAAGCAUUCUAUUGAAAGAUAGGUUCUCUCGCUAAAGCGACUGAAGGUAACAGAAUUAUUAAAUGAAAAAAAAAUAGAUAUACUUAAAGCUAGAAUCAUAUUUGAGAUAAACCAAAUAAUACUUAUGUGUAAGGGCGAUAUCUGCAAAUACUAAGUAGAAUACUAACGGUGAAAACUUUUUAUCUGGUAAUGAUUGACGCUGAGGUACGAAAGUGAGAACAGGGAAUAGGAUGUGCGACUUGAAAGCUUAAAUAUAUGUAUACCUCCCUAAGGGAGGAUUAUCAUUCGUCUGAUAAUAGCCAACCUAAACAUGACNUUACUUCCUACAU
rnacentral:rRNA from 1 species